UACGGAGGAAAAGAAACCAACAGGGAUUGCCCUAGUAACGGCGAGUGAAGCGGCAACAGCUCAAAUUUGAAAUCUGGCGUCUUCGGCGUCCGAGUUGUAAUUUGCAGAGGGCGCUUUGGCAUUGGCAGCGGUCCAAGUUCCUUGGAACAGGACGUCACAGAGGGUGAGAAUCCCGUACGUGGUCGCUAGCCUCUACCGUGUAAAGCCCCUUCGACGAGUCGAGUUGUUUGGGAAUGCAGCUCUAAAUGGGAGGUAAAUUUCUUCUAAAGCUAAAUACUGGCCAGAGACCGAUAGCGCACAAGUAGAGUGAUCGAAAGAUGAAAAGCACUUUGGAAAGAGAGUUAAAAAGCACGUGAAAUUGUUGAAAGGGAAGCGCUUGCAGCCAGACUUGCCUGUAGUUGCUCAUCCGGGUUUCUACCCGGUGCACUCUUCUAUAGGCAGGCCAGCAUCAGUUUGGGCGGUUGGAUAAAGGUCUCUGUCAUGUACCUCCUCUCGGGGAGAACUUAUAGGGGAGACGACAUGCAACCAGCCUGGACUGAGGUCCGCGCAUCUGCUAGGAUGCUGGCGUAAUGGCUGUAAGCGGCCCGUC
rnacentral:rRNA from 1 species